UACGUAGGGGGCAAGCGUUGUCCGGAUUUAUUGGGCGUAAAGCGCGCGUAGGCGGCAAGGUAUGUCGUGCGUGAAAUCUCCCGGCUUAACUGGGAGGGGCCGUGCGAAACUGCCUGGCUUGAGGUCGGAAGGGGAAAGUGGAAUUCCGGGUGUAGUGGUGGAAUACGUAGAUAUCCGGAGGAACACCAGCGGCGAAGGCGGC
rnacentral:rRNA from 1 species